rnacentral:rRNA from 1 species
AAUGAACGUUGGCAGCGUGGAUUAGGCAUGCAAGUCGAGCGACAAGUCUUCCUUCGGGGAGAUGGAGGAGCGGCUAACGGGGUAGUAAUGCAUCGGAACGUACCUUUUCGUCCGGGAUAGCCACGGGAAACUGUGAGUAAUACCGGAUAAUGUCUUCGGACCAAAGGUUUACUGCGAAAAGAGCGGCCGAUGUGAGACUAGAUUGUUGGUGGGGUAAUGGCCUACCAAGUCUAAGAUCUCUAGGGGGUGUGAGAGCAUGGCCCCCAUCACUGGAACUGAGACACUGUCCAGACACCUACGGGUGGCUGCAGUCGAGAAUCUUCGGCAAUGGGCGAAAGCCUGACCGAGCGACGCUGCGUGCGGGAUGAAGGCCCUUGGGUUGUAAACCGCUGUCAGAGGGGAUCAAAGGAAACUUGAGAGAGCCUCAGAGGAAGCGCGGGCUAAGUUCG